UCCUCAAUAGCUCAGUUCGGUAGAGCGAUCGGCUGUUAACUGAUUGGUCGUAGGUUCGAAUCCUGCUUGGGGAG
rnacentral:tRNA from 2 species